rnacentral:rRNA from 1 species
GAUGAACGCUGGCGGCGUGCCUAAUACAUGCAAGUCGAGCGAACGGACGAGAAGCUUGCUUCUCUGAUGUUAGCGGCGGACGGGUGAGUAACACGUGGAUAACCUACCUAUAAGACUGGGAUAACUUCGGGAAACCGGAGCUAAUACCGGAUAAUAUUUUGAACCGCAUGGUUCAAAAGUGAAAGACGGUCUUGCUGUCACUUCUAGAUGGAUCCGCGCUGCAUUAGCUAGUUGGUAAGGUAACGGCUUACCAAGGCAACGAUGCAUAGCCGACCUGAGAGGGGGAUCGGCCACCAGGGAACUGAAACACGGUCCAGGCUCCUACGGGAGGCAGCAGUAGGGAAUCGUCCGCAAUGGGCGAAAGCCUGACGGAGCAACGCCGCGUGAGUGAUGAAGGUCUUCGGAUCGUAAAACUCUGUUAUUAGGGGAGAACAUAUGUGUAAGUAACUGUGCACAUCUUGACGGUACCUAAUCAGAAAGCCACGGCUAACUACGUG